CAACCACCUAAUUCUCCGGAUUUCAACAUUCUAGACUUGGGUUUUUUCCGAGCAAUUCAAGCUAUUCAAUACAAGAAAAAUGCUAAAACAUUAGAAGCCCUAGUUCCAACAGUGCAAGAGGCAUUCAUGGAGUAUUGUCCGUACAAAGCAAAUAGAAUUUUUGUAACUCUUCAGACUGUUUUGAAGGAAUCCAUCAAGGUUAAAGGAAACAACAAUUACAAAAUUCCUCACAUGCAAAAACAAAGACUUGAGAGAGAAGAAUGGCUGCCAUUGCAAAUCUCUUGCGAAGCAUCCUUGCUAGAUGAAGCUCUCGCUAGUCUUGCUGCAUCAAACUAGACAAAAUACUUUAGUAGGAGCAAUUGCAAACUAGAAGGUGCAUCUUUGUUUGAAUGAAUGGGACAUGUAAUCUUACUGUUUGUUCUUUGCAUCUUCCAUUUGCUUGUCCAACUUAAUCAAAACAUGGUCAGGCACAA